GGUGAAAAAGGAGGAGGGAAGUAGAGCUCGGCGCGUGUCAGGGCGGGGGCUCACCGGGCCGGUCCCCACGGUUCCAGCUAUUCCUGGGGCACGCGGAAGCCAGGUGCUGGAGGCGAGCACGUCACCUCUGUACGUUCGAGCGGAGAACCGCGGGUGUCAGUAGAGCCGGAUGAGCCGCAGCCCAAGCUUGUGCUCGGGCAGUGUUCUGGCUCGGCUGCUUACCAGGGUGUUUAAGUGCAAAAGUCCCCAAGGAUGUUCAGAUCCAUCUGCUGCUGCUGAUUCGUUAGUGGUGUCUGCUGAGUGGACUGGACUGCAGCUGCUGAUUCCUGCUGGUGUUUUGCUGGUGGACUGGAAUGCUGACAAUGAAGAUUAGAAUAGCCCCAAAGAACUACUUCUAAACAGGGUGAGCAUUUCACCACGAGCCACCACCAUGAUAUGCUGUUUACCUCAGGCCCAGAGACGUGGUCACAUGCAGAAAGGACACGUGAGCAUGUGUUUGUGUGACAGUCUUGGGAAAACAGAAUCUCCUGUAUCAUCUGAGAUCAUUUAACUUCUGAGAAGACAAGCUGUAUGCAUACCAAAAAUACCACCCGCAAGAUAUAAAUGCAAGACAGAAGUUACAAAAUCAACUUCUUCUCCCUCACUGCUCCUUGAGUCCUCCUCUGGGCACGGUGGGCCAGUAACAAGCAUAUUUAUUUAGCUGGCAACAUUUUUUUUUUACAAUACUACAGGGAGAAACUGAGUCUGUCACGUGUAUUCCUGGUCUCUCUGAGAACAGGUAGGAGGGAGUACACCCUCCCUCACUGCACUGGUAAUGCUUGCUUCAGAGGGUCCUUUCCACACACCCUGGCUGACACAGUGAGCAGGUGUCUAAACUUCUUACCUUGUAUCUUUUAAUCCUUUCUUUCAUCUUCAAAAAUAUGGAGCUUAAGUAUCCACAGUUUUCAUGUCAGUGAUAGCAAAGCCGGGCUGCUUUUGUAAGUGGUUUGAGGGCCUGUGAGAUGACUUAGACUAUAACAGUGCUUGUUAUGCCAGUCUGAUGAUCUGAGUUCCAUGUUCAGGUCCCACAGUGGAAGGCAGGGAAUGUGUUCUCUAGCCCCCAUGUGAUAGCUACACUCAUACACACAUCACAUACACACAAAUGAUGAUGGUCUGAUGUUGGUAGUGAUGAUAGUGUGGUGAUGAUGAUGGGUCUGGAGAGAUGACAGCGGUUAGGAAACUGUUCUUCCAGAUCCUAGGUUCUGUUCACAGCACCUAUAUCAGAUAGCCCAUAACCACCUGUAACUGUGGCUCCAAGGAAUUUGACACCUCUUCCCUCCAUGAACAUUUACAUGCAUAUAUGUACAUACCCAUUCACAGACACAUAUGCAUAUAUGUGUAUAUAUGCAUAUACAUAUAUAUAAUUAAAAAUAAAUCUUUAAC